UGGAGCCUGGAUACAGUGAUGCCAUCAGGUGUGGUAUGUGAUCACAGGCAACUCAGGAACAGCUCUCCAGCCCCAGGACUUCUGCUGGAACCGCUGGGAGUUGGAAGCUUUCUUCCCACUGAGGGGCAAACCUUCUAGGUAUCUGAAGAUGUUGAAGACCAUUUCCUGGAACAGCAGAGAGAGACUGUGGAAUGGAAUGACUCUCCAGAGCUGCAGAUUGAAGGCAUAUUUUCAUCUGACUUUGGUGAUUAUGUUUCCAAUCUCUCUGGGAAUAAGAUCUCAAUGGCGGGAACACCUUCAUGGCCCCUUUAUAGCUGGAUGAUCAUUUCCUGUUCUCUCCACCAUGGCCACCUGGUCCAAGCCACCAUCUUCAUGCACCUGGAUACCUGCCAUAACCUCAGCUGACCUUUCCUGUGUCCAUUCUUGUUCCUUUGGGCCCAGUCUCCUCGCUCAUAGCAGCAGAAUGAGUCUAUUAAAAAGUGAAACAAUU
rnacentral:lncRNA from 10 species